rnacentral:lncRNA from 1 species
CCGACUUUAAAGUUUAUUAUGUAUUCCUCUAUUAUACGGGUGGGCUCCCAACUUCAAAACUUGAAUGAAUGCCUCUAUUCUCCAGGCGGGCUCCUAACUUCAAAAUAGACAAAGAAAUCAAUUGAAAACUAAAAUUUGAAUUUACUAAGAGAUACAGAGUCGCCACUUGGGAGAUUAAUGGUGCCCCAAGUCACCGGUUGAAUCCCGAAUCGAGGAAAAUAUAAAUUUGUUAACAGUCUGUGAAUCAGAAAUCCGAAUAAGAAAUUUGUUAAAUCGGGAGAAAGUGUUAGGUAUUUCCGGGUUCCGUGGUUAUAGCACGGUCGCUCAACUGUCAUAUUCAACUUAUUUAUCUGAUUUUAACCAAUGUUGAAUCUAUGUGCCAAUAUUAGUUUUUAACUGCUUUUAUUCAAUUCUUAAAAGAAAGAUGAACGUCGUUUAAAAUGUAUCUUUGGAUCGCAUCACAUGAAAUGUACCUGCAAUCCUAAACAUAUUUUAUUCGACGUUUUGGGAUUUGAUUUGGGUCACAUGAAAUGCACACCCGAGUUUAAGAUGGUAAAUUAUUAAAAUAUGCGCCCAAAGCAACUAACGCAUUAUUAUCUUUGAGGAAGGCCGUGAAAUUCACUAAAACGCUCAUCUCGAAUUCUAAGUACUUUAAUAUAAGCAAUUACAGAAGGCCCCGCAACUUAUGCAUUUUGUUUGAGGGGCGCACCUCAUUUAUUAUUUAAGGGCCAACUUAAGCAAACUAUGUUUUUCUAUUUAAUUUGUCUCUAAUAAUAAAAGAAGAAGCCCUAAUUAAUUAAGAUUAUUAAAAUCCAGGCCUCGAAUCCAAGUCCGAAUUCAAAUAAAAGGGCAAGCCUCUUAGCUCAAAUCCGUCACCUAACUCAAAGGUUCUAAAUUUACAUCACUUUAAAUUACGAUUUAAGGCCUUUAAGCCCAAAUUCAAACUAGAGAAUUUUAGUAAGCUUAGAUGAGAGUGGUCCUGUUAAAAAGGCCCAAAAUGAAGUAAGUUGAACUUUACAAUUGAAAUUAAUUAAGCAAGUAAAAUUAGCUCAGCAUGCUUUUAGAAAAUGAACCGAAAAUAAAUGCAUUAUACUAAACAAUUGACCAAUACAUGAAACAAUAGGCAUGAAUUAGGAAGAACCGAUUUCAGAUUCAAUGUUUGGCCUAAACAACUUUUAAUCAUAAUUCCAUUUCAGAUUCCAUUUUAAUCUACUUGAUUGUUUUCUGGAGAACUGAAGCGAGUCACCUUGCCAGUUUUAAACAUUUACGACGUUUAAAUGGAUCAACAGUUCACCCAAACGUGCAAAAGGUUCACAACCUGAUUUUAUACAUAUGAACCUGCAACCAAAUCAGAUUCCAUUUGUAAACUAGUAAAUUGGCAAAUGUGAAUUAAUUCAUACUUCUGUCUGCAUUUGUUAAAUACUCACACAUAUCCAAGGGUUCGACUGUUAACUACACAUUAGGAACUAAAAUCAGUUUUAAAUUUAUGUUGCUGUUAAUAUCAAACUACGAAUCUACACCGGCUAACGAAUAUUAAUAAUCUGAUACAAAUCAUUAGUCCAAACAGUUCAAUCUUAGGUACAAAUAGGUCUAUUGAAUUUUAUGAAACUACCGGAUAAUCUAACAUGAAAAUUGACAGAAAACAAAGCUAUGCUGCCAUUCAAUUCAUGUUCACAACUUGGAGAUUACAUGAUGUGUACCUGGAUUUGAAUGAACAGAAGAACAAGAGUCAUUCACACAGUGCUAGACAGUAAUCAAUAGCUCAAAUCAGCAGCAAACAAGUACCAAUUUUAGUCCCGAAUCAACACCACCAUGCCCGGGAAGGAAUAAUAGGGAAGCAACACCAACUAAUCAACCAAACACACUUGUUUGAACUCAAAUUUACUCGAAUUUAAACCACGAACAUAUUUGAAAACUUCAGCAACCAAAAUUAAGCUAAAUGAUGCAAAUCAAAACUACAACUUUAAAUUAACGGUUAAGGGUCAAAUAUAUCCUUCUACUAUUCAAAAUAGGCCAUAUUUAUCCUCCGUUUGAAUUCUUUAACAAAUAUGUCCCCACUGUUAUACAUUAGGUACAUAUAUAUCCCCCAGCCGUUAAAACUUGUUUCCAGAUUUUUUUUUUAACACGUGGCCUUAAACCAUUGGAUAAGAUUACCCACCCAUUCGAUUAAUUAAACCCGCCCGACCCAGUGUAUUAAACCCGCCCCGACCACAGCUAUGGCGGAAAAAUCCACCCUAGGCCCCACGAUAAUCAACUCGCCUACAUCAGCGGUGAAACCAAAAUCCUUUCCGUUGAUCGUAAUAUCAGAUUCUCAAAUCUUAUUACCAAACUUUCUUCUACUUCAGACUGUGAAGUUUGCUUUAAGUAUCAGUUACCUGGUGAGGAUCUUGAUGCUUUAAUUUCAGUAACUAAUGAUGAAGAUUUCGAACAUAUGAUGCUUGAAUAUGAUCGGCUUUAUCGCGGUUCAGCUAAACCGGCUAGACUCCGGCUGUUUUUGUUCCCUAUGAAUACACCGGCGACUAGUAUUUUCGAUUCUAGUGACUCGAAACCUGGAGUAUAUAAUAAGCUGGGGUCGGGUCGGGUUUAAUAUACUGGGUCGGGCGGGUUUAAUUAAUCGAAUGGGUUGGUAAUCUGAUCCAAUGGUUUAAUGUCACGUGUUAAAAAAAAUCUGGAAACAAGUUUUAACGGCUGAGGGAUAUAUAUGGCCUAAUAUAUAACGGUGGGGACAUAUUUGUCAAAGAAUUCAAACGGAGGAUAAAUAUGGCCUAUUUUGAAUAGUACAAGGAUAUAUUUGACCCUUAACCGUUAAAUUAAACCCAAAAUCGCAAUAGAACAGUUUUUUUAGUUUUCUCCUGUAUUUUCCUUUUGUUUGUUUUUGAAUAUUUGGAAUUUGAAUUUCAAAUUUUAGAUUUGAAACUCGAAGAACACUUUUUGAGGGAAUUUUCAUAUUUAGAAAACUUUGAAUAUUUUUAUGGGAAAUUUGUUUGAGGCUCAAAACUUGUGAAUUAAGGCAUUGGGCUGCUUUAUAUAGGCGCAGAUGAGGGAAGCCUCAGAUUACUUCAGUUUUGCAUUACAGCCUUUCCUAAUUUUCGUUUUUGCUUAAGUAUCCCUAAAGUUUUGACUUGUUUUCCUAGUUCCUCUAUCUAUAGUCUGAAAUUUCAAUAGAGAUCCCUUCUAGGUGCUUCUAGGAUUCAUUACCAGAGAUUCCCUGAGUUGAUCUCCCUAAACUAACCCCCUAACUAUCAUGUUAUUACUAUUACAGACAAUUGCGUCAAGCUGAACCAAAUACCAAAACAAACUGGGCUUUAUCAAACCAGUUCCCCCUAUUCCUUGGGCCUCAAAUCACCAAACCCCCAACCAAAAAUUAAACUUAAAAGACUGAAUGGGCCAACGGGAGCUACCCCAACAAAACCAGAAUUUAAUAACUUGCAAAAAACACAUGAUGAAAUGAAAAGGAUUACAGAACUUAACAAGCUUGAAACAAACAUGAGCUAACAAAUUUCAAAGCAAGCAGGCGUGGUCGACUUGGAGCGAGACAAAAAAAAUGGCAGAAAGUAUAAGAGAGAGGUAAACAAUGCAUGACAUUGGAACUGUGGGACUAAACGAAAGAAUAAAACGAACUGAAAUACCUAUUUGCAAAUAGACGGAACUCGAGAAACUUCAGGCGACUUCGAUUUGACCCGAAACUGGUAUUACCCACGCGUUCUUUUGAGAACAAAUGAACAAUACUAGUCUCGAGCCACAUCGUUCAUAGAAACCAUGACAACUUUGUUGGAUUGCCUCCUUCUUCAUUUUUAGAUUUGAUUUGGACUUGGUCGUGUGAGGAUUUGGGGAGAAAUAGUGGUGGAUUGGGAUUAAGGGCAUAGUGAUGGUUGCCCCGGCCAGAUUUUGGUGGGGAUUGGAGUUGCUUCACCGGCGACAAUGGUGAUUUUAGGGCUAUAAGAUGAAAGGGAUGAAGUACUAGGGUGUUUGGAAGAGAUGAAGACUGAUAGGCUUCGGACAUUUUU